rnacentral:misc_RNA from 1 species
AGAGUGACCGAUCGAAGACAAGCAAUGCUGCUUGUAUUAGCAACAGCAUAAUCCUCAUACUCUGAUUGAAGUAACUGACGCUCAGCAGCUGCUAGAGCUAGAAGCUGUGACUCACGCCAUGCUUGCCUAAUAUCAAUUGACAUAACAUCAGGAUUGCUGCGGGCAGGUGGAAAAGAAUAAUUUGGUGAGAAGACAUGGUUGCAGAUUUCACAGGUGAUAUUGCCUUUUUUGUUGCACCAUCUCUGAAUGCACUUUCUAUGAGCAAACUUGAGGGUGCCAUUGCAAGCACAAGGAGCCUCCAUUGAGUCGACCUCAUCAUCCUCCUGGCAUAUCCUACAUUCCACAGUCUCUUUCAUCUUCUUUAAAGAGGAACACCCUUCUCCGUUGCUUUUUACAGGCAUAACAG